rnacentral:rRNA from 1 species
GAAUUCAACUCCUACGGGAGGCAGCAGUGGGGAAUUUUGGACAAUGGGGGCAACCCUGAUCUAGCCAUGCCGCGUGAGUGAUGAAGGCCUUAGGGUUGUAAAGCUCUUUCAGCUGGGAAGAUAAUGACGGUACCAGCAGAAGAAGCCCCGGCUAACUCCGUGCCAGCAGCCGCGGUAAUACGGAGGGGGCUAGCGUUGUUCGGAAUUACUGGGCGUAAAGCGCACGUAGGCGGACCAGAAAGUUGGGGGUGAAAUCCCGGGGCUCAACCUCGGAACUGCCUUCAAAACUAUUGGUCUGGAGUUCGAGAGAGGUGAGUGGAAUUGCGAGUGUAGAGGUGAAAUUCGUAGAUAUUCGCAGGAACACCAGUGGCGAAGGCGGCUCACUGGCUCGAUACUGACGCUGAGGUGCGAAAGCGUGGGGAGCAAACAGGAUUAGAUACCCGGGUAGUCCAGGCGUU